GAUAGUGAGCCGUUCUAUCUCAUUAUCCUUAACAUUUACUUUUUCUAGUUGAUGGGAAAGUUAAAAAUAUUUUAUGUGCCUAUUGAUAAUUUGUAAUUUUUGGGGUCUCUUUUCUAAUUUAUUUAUCGAAAAUAUGGCCAGGUGGAGUGGCUCAUGCCUGUAAUCCUAGUUCUUCUGUUCCUGGACCAAACCGAGGGUUUGGCUGCUAUUUCUUGCGGCUCAAUAAUGAGAUGCAGAUGAACUGGGAGAGAAGGGAGUUUUUAUUUCUGUAACCAGGUACAGGGAGAAGGCCUAGAAAUUAUUGCCAGACCAACUCAAAGUUACAAAGUUUUCUAGAGCUUAUCUACCUGCUAAGCAAUGUGUCUAUCAGUAAGUGUGCACUCAUCUGAAGACAUUAGUGAUGAACUUCUUCUAAUCUAGAACAAAGGUCUGAGUCCUGAAGACCUUCCUCUGGAGCCUCAGUAAGCCUGGGUGGUAGGGGUUGAGUGGGAGUCUCUGGGGGAUU
rnacentral:lncRNA from 1 species